GCUAAAUGCAGAGCAGGUGCCAACAGAAUUUAAAUGGGGAGAGUGGCUGCAAGGUGCAAAUUGAUUUUUUUAACUGUCCAUCCCAUGGAGGAUGUAGCAGUCUUCCCUGAAAAGGGCAGGACACAAGCCUUGGUUAUGUCCAAUUGCAGCUCAAUUAAGAGUAUAAAAGUGUUCCCCUGCAAGCAGGGCUUUCUUUUUUAUGAGCUGUUGGACAGAGAGAAGAGGAUGGAGCUAGUAAAGUGGAAAGGGACUCCCUUGGGCGGUAUGCUUACGAUGCUCUGUUGCUUCUUUUCUUUGGUCCUAAGGGCCUCUAACAGCUUUAAAGAUAUGUUUAUGCUGGGGAGACCAUUGCCUCCUUUGCUGCGGAUGGGAAAGCGUGCCUCUCGCCCUUCCUGCAAACAGCAUUGCAGUGAUUUCCCUUCUGAGUGCUGUGGCGUUGCAGGUCUCAUGCUGCUUUUUCUAUGGGGAAAGGCUGAGCCUGUAAUGCAUGUGGGCAAAGCUGAGGAGCAUCUGUCUCUACUGCAAGGUCCGUGUACUGCCUUCUGAUUCAGUGCGGAUUAAAGGAAAAGAUGUCUUUCCAGGGAGAGGAACUGAAAUGCUUGCUGAGACUACCAUGUGCCAUGUCAGCUAGAACAUCUGUAGAGUAGGAACACUGCAAACGUUGUGAGGAACUUCUGUGGGGAUGUCCUUUGUACUUGAAACAAAAAAAAACGUAGAUGCUUCUUAAGGUAAGGAUAAGAAGAAGGACGUAUUACAGUUUGCAAACCACAAGCAUAUCUCAUAGUGGCGUAAGUCUCAAGUUGGCAUAAGUCUUUCUGUUUCCUCUCUGUGGCUCUAGACUCUUCCAGAAGCAGCCUAUGCAAUGCUAUUCUGUCCCAUACAAGCUGCCUUGCACUGUGUUGUUUCUUCUCUGCGGCAGGAUGUAAAGGGACAGGCAUCUGGUAUGACCCAAGUGACCGGGUUUCUCUAUGUCAGUAUGGUAACACAGGUGGCUGGGAAUGACAACGAUAAGGACUUCUAGUAAUGGAGAACUGAAUGAGUUUAAUAAUAGCUAUUCACAUGGC
rnacentral:lncRNA from 1 species